GAAGUGGGACUGGUGAUAUUGAUCUGACCCUCUGCAGUGUUCCGAGGGCUUGUUUACCCACUCCAAGUCUGUGAGUCCUAAUGAAGCAGGGCUAAGUCCGCUGAAGACCACCUUUGAGAGACUUUCAGAUCCUGGAGUGGCUGCUCCCUGAAGAGAGUCCUGGUCCUAGGAAUCUGGGAUUCUACCUGAAGUCCCAAAGAUGAACAAAUGGUAGAGAGGCACCUGACUGAGCCUGCUUCCUAACCGACUUCUCAGAACUGCCUGCCGCUGGACUGCCUAACAGAAGCUCAAGUUCUGGGAUUCCACCCUUGAAGAGAAAUGAAUCUGCACUUAACUUAGUGAGCCCUGUAGGUCAGGACAUGUAGUUCUUGCUACCCUGAAGCUCACUAUGUACGACAGACUGGCCCGAACACACUGAGAUCUGCCUGGUUCUGCCUCCCCAGUGCUGAGAUCAAAGGCACGCGUAUAGUUAGGGUAUAGGACUUUUACUUAUAUGUUAUGGC
rnacentral:lncRNA from 1 species